UCUAUCGCGCGGAAGUUUCAAUACAACUCCCCGUUAAGAUCUUGCCACGUUGCAAGCAUUUUUUAUUCGAGUAAAACUUUUUUUUAAUGCAGAAAAUAGCUAAACCUUGGUUGCUUUUUCCAACCAUUGUUAUACGCUUAUCGAGAGCCGAUUUUCUCUCAUUGCAUUUUACAUUUCCACCCCUCCUUCUAUUGGUUUUUUAAGGCUACAUGGGUUGGCUUUGAGGGGGCUGGAGGGGUCGUUUGUGAGGGGUUUUUUAAAACUACAUAAAGCGUGUGAAUGGUUUUCACGAUUUCAUAUUCUAGCCGAUUUAAUUGCAUUUUACUUUUCUACCCCUCCUUUUUUUUUAACAAUAAUGGCCGAAGGGGUCGGCUUUGAGGGGGUUGAAGGGGUUGGCUUUGAGGGUUUUUUAAUACUACAUAAAGCGUGUGAAUGGUUUUGACGAUUUCACAUUCUACACGAUUUAAUGCUCCCCGUCUUCUUCAUUUAGAGCCGACCGUGAAUUUUCUCUGCAACAUGGUGCCCGUCAUAAUUUUGGUCUUGGCCGGCCACAUGUUCCCGUCCAUUUUUCCAGUCGGUCACGCCUCAGUGGCUCACAGCACCUCUUAAAAUUUUUUCUGGACUAUUUAAUGAAGCAGUUUAAGUAGCUCUCGUAUUUCUGUGUUGACCUUUAAUUGUUCUUCCUCCUUCCGAUGACACCAACCGAAGCACUCAUGCAGUAAUGUAAUGGCGAUGCAAAAUGGAAGAGCAUGGACCAAGCACGAAGAAGAAGAGUUGUUAAGUAUACUCCACUAUGUUGCAACAGAUUACGACCCAAAUAUGGGGAAUCCCUCUUUCAUGAGCGGUGUCAUUGAUGAAAUCGAACAUGCAAUUGGCUGGUUGGUUCAACAGCGUCUGCGAGCAACUCGGGCGGAUAUCAUCUCUAAGGUGCGAUUCCACAUAGAACGAUGGACCAGCUUCCAAAGGUACCUUGCCCGUGAGGACAUCCUUAGAUACGACAAAGAAAGCAACGAAGUCAUUGUGUGCCCAAUGAAAUUCACGAUGGAAACUGUAAGUAAUGUUAUUGUCAUAUUAGUGCUGAUAUUUUCUUAUUAUUGAAAUGUAUUAUUAUUUGUUUGUAUAUACAGGAGACGGAGGAGGAAGCAAGUUUCAGGCUGAAUGGGUUUCCGGACUAUGCAUGCAUGGAGCAGAUCAUGGAAGCUCAUGGAAUCGAAUCUGUGCCAUGGGACCUAGUGGUUUGAAGGACUGUUAUUCGUAGUUUAUGAACUAUUUAUGUUUUUCUCUAAAUGAUGGACAAUUUAUGUUAUAUUCUUGAAUACUUUAUGUAUGUAUUAAUUAAAAUA